UACACUUUACUACUUAUGGGGCAUUAAACCUACAUAAAUAAUUACCGUAAAGUCUUAUUUUUUAUCAGAACAACGUC
rnacentral:rRNA from 1 species